rnacentral:rRNA from 1 species
UACGGAGGGGGCGAGCGUUGUCCGAAGUUACUGGGCGUAAAGGGCGCGUAGGCGGGGUGUCACGUCCGCUGUGAAAGCCUGGAGCUUAACUCCAGCGGGUCGGUGGAUACGGGCACUCUUGAAGGCGUAGGGGAAGAUGGAAUUACCCGUGGAGCGGUGAAAUGCGUAGAGAUGGGUAGGAACACCGGUGGCGAAGGCGGUCUUCUGGGACGUCCUUGACGCUGAUGCGCGAAAGC